rnacentral:rRNA from 1 species
GACAGAGGAUGCAAGCAUUAUCCGGAAUGAUUGGGCGUAAAGCGUCUGUAGGUGGCUUUUCAAGUCCGCCGUCAAAUCCCAGGGCUCAACCCUGGACAGGCGGUGGAAACUACCAAGCUGGAGUACGGUAGGGGUAGAGGGAAUUUCCGGUGGAGCGGUGAAAUGCAUUGAGAUCGGAAAGAACACCAACGGCAAAAGCACUCUGCUGGGCCGACACUGACAUUGAGAGACGAAAGCUAGGGGAGCAAAUGGG